AUUGAACGCUGGCGGCAUGCCUUACACAUGCAAGUCGAACGGCAGCACGGGUGCUUGCACCUGGUGGCGAGUGGCGAACGGGUGAGUAAUGUAUCGGAACGUGCCCUGGAGUGGGGGAUAACUAUCCGAAAGGAUAGCUAAUACCGCAUAUUCUGUGCGCAGGAAAGCGGGGGAUCUUCGGACCUCGCGCUCUAGGAGCGGCCGAUAUCAGAUUAGCUAGUUGGUGGGGUAAAAGCCCACCAAGGCGACGAUCUGUAGCUGGUCUGAGAGGACGACCAGCCACACUGGAACUGAGACACGGUCCAGACUCCUACGGGAGGCAGCAGUGGGGAAUUUUGGACAAUGGGCGCAAGCCUGAUCCAGCAAUGCCGCGUGCAGGAUGAAGGCCUUCGGGUUGUAACU
rnacentral:rRNA from 1 species